GCUUAUGCUGAGGAGUUCCUCGAGGUUUCCUUUCUAUCUUUCUCUGCUCACAGUUUCAUACAGUGACAAUUUUCUUAUAUAGAAAUCUUGGGUUGGUCCUGUUUUCGCUUUUAUGUUUUAGUACAUUCCAAGCAAAAUGCAUCUGUGUUAGGUAUAUUUGUGAAGCUCUAUGGCCUUGAAGUGAAAGUUACUAAGAUACAGUGGUGUUUAAAAGAUGCGAUCUGAGUAAAAAAUGAAUAGAUAAUCGCAGCAUGGUCUUCUCCUCUGUUCUCUUAUGCAAUGUUGAGAUCAUUGCCAUGUUUCUUCUGACAUAUGCUCUUGCCCUGAAGAUGAAUUCACUGAUUAACAAACCUUAGUCAAUUAAGGGUCUCUAGCACCAGCCAUGUCCUCACUUUGGCUUGUGUACAUUAUUGAAAAUCGUAUUAGCUACUGUAGGUGUGCUUUGAAAAUUCACUAUAUUAGCCAAAUUCUAAUGAAUUUUCUUACACUUGGACUUCUGAAUACAUGAUGCCUCUCCUUGAAACAGCCCAUAUUGCUUGCUUGAAUUCUUGUUUGCAAAGUAGGAGUAGGUAUGUUGUACCUGAACAUAACUUGAAAAAUAUUUUAUGUGCGUAAU
rnacentral:misc_RNA from 1 species